UACAGAGGGGGCAAGCGUUGUUCGGAAUUACUGGGCGUAAAGGGCGCGUAGGCGGCCUGUUAAGUCGAACGUGAAAUCCCCGGGCUCAACCCGGGAACUGCGUCCGAUACUGGCAGGCUUGAGUUUGGGAGAGGGACGCGGAAUUCCAGGUGUAGCGGUGAAAUGCGUAGAUAUCUGGAGGAACACCGGUGGCGAAGACGGCGUCCUGGACCAACACUGACACUGAGGAGCGAAAGCCAGGGGAGCAAACGGG
rnacentral:rRNA from 1 species